rnacentral:rRNA from 1 species
AUUGAACGCUGGCGGAAUGCUUUACACAUGCAAGUCGAACGGCAGCACGGACUUCGGUCUGGUGGCGAGUGGCGAACGGGUGAGUAAUGUAUCGGAACGUGCCCAGUCGGGGGGGAUAACGUAGUGAAAAUUACGCCAAUACCGCAUACGAUCUAUGGAUGAAAGCGGGGGAUCGCAAGACCUCGCGCGAUUGGAGCGGCCGAUAUCAGAUUAGGUAGUUGGUGGGGUAAAGGCCCACCAAGCCAACGAUCUGUAGCUGGUAUGAGAGGACGACACGCCAACUGGGAACUGAGAGACGGUCGAGACUCCUACGGGAGGCAGCAGUGCGGAAUUCUGGACAAGGGGCGAAAGCCUGAUCUAGCCAUUCCGCGUGAAGGAUGAAGGCCCUCGGGUUGUAAACUGCUUUUGUACAGAACGAAAAGGUUUCUAUUAAUACUAGGAGCUCAUGACGGUACUGUAAGAAUAAGCACCGGCUAACUACGUGCCAGCCGCCGCCGUAA